rnacentral:tRNA from 1 species
GUGGGCAUGGUGGAAUGGCAGACACAAAGGACUUAAAAUCCUUCGCUUCGGCGUGCGGGUUCGAGUCCAGCUGCCCGCACCA